UGUAAGCGUAUACCAAAGUUGUUGCAGUUAAAACGCUCGUAGUCGGAAUUUGGCAGUUCCGGAUGUGUGCACGUCGUGUGCGCACUUCGCGGGGAUUGCUUUUGUGGUCUUGCGUAGGAUGAGGCACUUUUAUUAGUGAACGUCCUCACGCAACCACUUUUUACUGUGAGAAAAUCAGAGUGCUCAAAGCAGGCAUUUGCCGUGAAUGUAUUAGAAUGGAAUAAUAGAAUAGGACUUGGUUCUAUUUUGUUGGUUUGUUGGGACUGAGUAAUGAUUAAGAGGGACAGUUGGGGGCAUUUGUAUUUCGGUGCUAGAGGUGAAAUUCUUAGAUUACCGAAAGACAAACUGCUGCGAAAGCGUCUGCCAAGGAUGUUUUCAUUGA
rnacentral:rRNA from 1 species